AGAGUUUGAUCCUGGCUCAGGACGAACGCUGGCGGCGUGCUUAACACAUGCAAGUCGAGCGGUAAGGCCUUUCGGGGUACACGAGCGGCGAACGGGUGAGUAACACGUGGGUGAUCUGCCCUGCACUUCGGGAUAAGCCUGGGAAACUGGGUCUAAUACCGGAUAUGACCUCCUAUCGCAUGGUGGGUGGUGGAAAGAUUUAUCGGUGCAGGAUGGGCCCGCGGCCUAUCAGCUUGUUGGUGGGGUAAUGGCCUACCAAGGCGACGACGGGUAGCCGRCCUGAGAGGGUGACCGGCCACACUGGGACUGAGACACGGCCCAGACUCCUACGGGAGGCAGCAGUGGGGAAUAUUGCACAAUGGGCGMAAGCCUGAUGCAGCGACGCCGCGUGAGGGAUGACGGCCUUCGGGUUGUAAACCUCUUUCAGUAGGGAAGAAGCGAAAGUGACGGUACCUGCAGAAGAAGCGCCGGCUAACUACGUGCCAGCAGCCGCGGUAAUACGUAGGGCGCAAGCGUUAUCCGGAAUUAUUGGGCGUAAAGAGCUCGUAGGCGGUUUGUCGCGUCUGCCGUGAAAGUCCGGGGCUCAACUCCGGAUCUGCGGUGGGUACGGGCAGACUAGAGUGAUGUAGGGGAGACUGGAAUUCCUGGUGUAGCGGUGAAAUGCGCAGAUAUCAGGAGGAACACCGAUGGCGAAGGCAGGUCUCUGGGCAUUAACUGAYGCUGAGGAGCGAAAGCAUGGGGAGCGAACAGGAUUAGAUACCCUGGUAGUCC
rnacentral:rRNA from 1 species